UUAGAAGAAACUAAUAAAUAGUAUAUUACUGUUAAUAAUAUUAAAGAAUAAAAUUCUCUUCUAAA
rnacentral:tRNA from 1 species